AGUGAACGCUGGCGGUAGGCCUAACACAUGCAAGUCGAACGGCAGCACAGUAAGAGCUUGCUCUUACGGGUGGCGAGUGGCGGACGGGUGAGGAAUACAUCGGAAUCUACUUUUUCGUGGGGGAUAACGUAGGGAAACUUACGCUAAUACCGCAUACGACCUACGGGUGAAAGCAGGGGAUCUUCGGACCUUGCGCGAUUGAAUGAGCCGAUGUCGGAUUAGCUAGUUGGCGGGGUAAAGGCCCACCAAGGCGACGAUCCGUAGCUGGUCUGAGAGGAUGAUCAGCCACACUGGAACUGAGACACGGUCCAGACUCCUACGGGAGGCAGCAGUGGGGAAUAUUGGACAAUGGGCGCAAGCCUGAUCCAGCCAUACCGCGUGGGUGAAGAAGGCCUUCGGGUUGGAAAGCCCUUUUGUUGGGAAAGAAAAGCAGCAGGUUAAUACCCCGCUGUUCUGGCGGUACCCAAAGAAUAAGCACCGGCUAACUUCGUG
rnacentral:rRNA from 1 species